rnacentral:rRNA from 1 species
UGGGGAAUAUUGGACAAUGGGCGCAAGCCUGAUCCAGCAAUGCCGCGUGUGUGAAGAAGGCCUUCGGGUUGUAAAGCACUUUUAUCAGGAGCGAAAUACUACCGGCUAAUACCCGGUGGGGCUGACGGUACCUGAGGAAUAAGCACCGGCUAACUUCGUGCCAGCAGCCGCGGUAAUACGAAGGGUGCAAGCGUUAAUCGGAAUUACUGGGCGUAAAGCGUGCGUAGGCGGUUUGUUAAGUCUGCUGUGAAAUCCCCGGGCUCAACCUGGGAAUGGCAGUGGAUACUGGCAAGCUAGAGUGUGUCAGAGGAUGGUGGAAUUCCCGGUGUAGCGGUGAAAUGCGUAGAGAUCGGGAGGAACAUCAGUGGCGAAGGCGGCCAUCUGGGACAACACUGACGCUGAGGCACGAAAGCGUGGGGAGCAAACA